rnacentral:rRNA from 1 species
CACGUAGGGCGCAAGCGUUGUCCGGAAUUAUUGGGCGUAAAGAGCUCGUAGGCGGACUGUCACGUCUGCUGUGAAAAGCUAGGGCUUAACCCUGGCCUUGCAGUGGAUACGGGCAGACUAGAGGUAGGUAGGGGAGAAUGGAAUUCCCGGUGUAGCGGUGAAAUGCGCAGAUAUCGGGAGGAACACCGGUGGCGAAGGCGGUUCUCUGGGCAACAACUGACGCUGAGGAGCGAAAGCGUGGGGAGCGAACAGG